rnacentral:rRNA from 1 species
UACGGUGAAUACGUUCCCGGACCUUGUACACACCGCCCGUCAAGCCAUGGAAGCCGGGUGUACCUAAAGUCGAUAACCGUAAGGAGUCGCCCAGGGUAAAACUGGUGACUGGGGCU